UCGGGAAUUUUGGGCAAUGGGGGAAACCCUGACCCAGCAACGCCGCGUGAAGGAUGAAGUAUUUCGGUAUGUAAACUUCGAAAGAAUAGGAAGAAUAAAUGACGGUACUAUUUAUAAGGUCCGGCUAACUACGUGCCAGCAGCCGCGGUAAUACGUAGGGACCAAGCGUUGUUCGGAUUUACUGGGCGUAAAGGGCGCGUAGGCGGCAUGACAAGUCACUUGUGAAAUCUCUGGGCUUAACCCAGAACGGCCAAGUGAUACUGUCGCGCUAGAGUGCAGAAGGGGCAAUCGGAAUUCUUGGUGUAGCGGUGAAAUGCGUAGAUAUCAAGAGGAACACCUGAGGUGAAGACGGGUUGCUGGGCUGACACUGACGCUGAGGCGCGAAAGCCAGGGGGAGCAAACGGGAUUAGAUACCCAGGUAGUCCCUGAGCGGGCUGGCAAGGCGCAU
rnacentral:rRNA from 1 species